rnacentral:rRNA from 1 species
GGAGGGUGCAAGCGUUAUCCGGAUUUAUUGGGUUUAAAGGGUGCGUAGGCGGGAUGGUAAGUCAGUGGUGAAAUCCCAUAGCUUAACUAUGGAACUGCCAUUGAUACUAUCAUUCUUGAGUACAAUUGAAGUGGGCGGAAUGUGUCAUGUAGCGGUGAAAUGCUUAGAUAUGACACAGAACACCGAUUGCGAAGGCAGCUCACUAAGUUGUAACUGACGCUGAGGCACGAAAGCGUGGGGAGCGAACAGGAUUAGAUACCCUGGUAGUCCACGCCGUAAACGAUGAUCACUCGGUAUUGGCGAUAUACGGUCAGUACCCAAGCGAAAGUUUUAAGUGAUCCACCUGGGAAGUACGUCGGCAACGAUG